AGAGUUUGAUCAUGGCUCAGAACGUACGCUGGCGGCACGCCUAACACAUGCAAGUCGAACGAAGUAGCAAUACUUAGUGGCAGACGGGUGAGUAACAUGUGGGUAUCUACCCUUUGGCCUGGAAUAACACGAGGAAACUUGUGCUAAUACUGGAUAAGUCUUUACGGAGAAAGCUUUAUGCACCAUUGGAUGAGCCUGCAUUUGAUUAGUUUGUUGGUGGGGUAAUGGCCUACCAAGACUGUGAUCAAUAGCUGAUUUGAGAGGAUGAUCAGCCACAUUGGGACUGAGACACGGCCCAAACUCCUACGGGAGGCAGCAGUGGGGAAUCUUGCACAAUGGAGGAAACUCUGAUGCAGCGAUGCCGCGUGAGUGAAGAAGGCCCUUGGGUUGUAAAGCUCUUUCGUCGGGGAAGAAAAUGACUGUACCCGAAUAAGAAGGUCCGGCUAACUUCGUGCCAGCAGCCGCGGUAAUACGAAGGGACCUAGCGUAGUUCGGAAUUACUGGGCUUAAAGAGUUCGUAGGUGGUUGAAAAAGUUGGUGGUGAAAUCCCAGAGCUUAACUCUGGAACUGCCAUCAAAACUUUUCAGCUAGAGUAUGAUAGAGGAAAGCAGAAUUUCUAGUGUAGAGGUGAAAUUCGUAGAUAUUAGAAAGAAUACCAAUUGCGAAGGCAGCUUUCUGGAUCAUUACUGACACUGAGGAACGAAAGCAUGGGUAGCGAAGAGGAUUAGAUACUCUCGUAGUCCAUGCCGUAAACGAUGUGUGUUAGACGUUGGAAAUUUA
rnacentral:rRNA from 1 species